CACAAUACAAUGGCCUCAUUGUUGCUCAGAUCUGGUCAGGUGUGCUUCCCCCGGUGCCCAGGCCGCUCGCGGUUGCUCUCCGAUGGUGUUGGGAGGUUCCAGUGCAAGGGUUUCAUUGGUUCGAGGAAUUAGGGCGAACUAACCCGUAGUUGUUGGGAUGUGCGGUGCGAUCUAUCUAAUUAACUACACGUUGUUGCACAACUAUAGCUUCUUCCUUUUACGUACUACUCCCUCCGUCCCGAAAAACAUGUCGCGACGGCAUUUUUACAAAAAAAAUCUCUAGCUUCUCCCGACCAAACCCGCGCUCCUCGUCGUCCUCCUCCGACAGAAGCAGCAGCUGCGCUGCUCCCCACCGCCGCAGCUUCCCUGCUCCCCACCGCCGCAGCCCCCCUGCUCCCCCGCUCUCCCGCCGCAGCUGCCUCCUGCUCCGCUGCCGCCCGCCUGCCUCCCCAAGCUCCCCCCCUUCCUCAAAAAGAUCUUCGAUUUCCCCAGCUGCCGCCGCGCUCUGCUCCGGCUACGCCGGAACUGCCGUCGGAGAGCCCGGAGGCGCCGGAUCCGGACCACCAACAACAACCUAAAGCCCGACGAGCAGCCAGGUGUUGUCCUCGCCGUCGACGACGACGGUGCCGUCGACGCCAUGGAGCAAGGGCGAGAUCCUCCAGUCGGCCAACGUCAAGAGUUUCGCCUUCACGGAGCUGAUUUUCAGCUGCUGCUGCUGCCCCCGGUAGCGCCGACACCGUGCGGCGUGCGGCUGUACGAACAGAGAAGGCGUCUACUGAAAUAAAAUCUACUGACGAAACUAGCUUAGAGAAGGUGCCCCCGUUGAUGAAGGCGUCUACUGACGGUACCCAAGAGCGUGGGGUACGAACAGAGAACAACAUGAAUAAUCAGCUACUGCUAUGAGGCAGCGGUGCAAGAACAAGAUGAACACCUCGACAUGUGCAUUGCUGGAAUUCUGCACGCCAUCCAAAUUGAUUUACUAAAUAUUGGAUGUUCAGCACUCUCCUGAGGUGAAAAUAGAUUGAAAGAGAUGUCAUCAUCAGAGGAUGAGCAAGUUGAACACGACACUGUAGAACAUGAAUUGUUUUCCAUGCCAUCUGAUGCCAUGGAGCAUGGAACAAAUAGCAGCAGCAGCACAUAGCAGCAGAUCAAUGUACAAGCUACUGUACCUUCUUCAGAGUGCAAAUAGCAGCAGCAGCAACACGUCACAGUCACUUGGACCAGCAGCAGCAGGAACACGGCAUGUUCACUUGGAUCAGCAGCAUCAACACGAGCAGAGGAGCAGCAGCAGCACGGGCUAGCUCCACCGGCGGCAGAGGAGAAACAGAGCAGCAGCAGGCACGCAGGGUCGCAUGCAGAGGAGAAGGAGCAGCACGGCAGCUGGUGGGGGCUCGACGAGGAGUUGCGGGAGAUAGAGGAGGACGCACGCAAGCUCUUGUCCACCGGAUCGUGGAGGCCGGUUCCAGCGACGCCCGUAGUAGAUCACGGCGGGAGGGAUCGCGGCGGCGCACGGGAGGCAGCUCAAGGUGGACUCGCGGGAGCUCGAGGAGGACUCGCGGUAGCUCGAGGAAGAUGAGAGGGAGCUCCUGCUCCGCCGGAUCGUGGUGGGAAAUUCCGGCAACGUCCGCAGGUAAUCCGGCGAGAGGGGAUCGCUGCGGCACAGGUUUGGGCGGCGGUGGCGGAGCAGGUACUUGGCGACGGCGGCGGCGUCGAAGGUACGUGGCGACGGAGGCGGAGCACUUCCUGAUGGGCAGCAAAUCACGCAGCUUGGCGGCGCCGGCCCCUAGCGACGCACGGGCGACGGCGGAGGGAGAAGACGGGGGUGGAGGGACUUCUUUGCGACUGUUUUGAACCUAUGACGGCCUUUUUGUAAAAUUACCAAUGAACUACGGGUGCGACACGUUUUUCGGGACGGAGGAAGUAGAUGCUAAGAUUUUUUUUAUUUACAAUUUCUCAAUUUGCUAACAGUUUAGUCUAUACAAAUGAUGCACCUUGUCGAGCUACUGAUAUGGUUAAUGUGAUGCCGUUCAGCAUAGUCAUAUAUGGGUUUUCUUCUUCUUGUGAUACAAUGGCUUUCAGCUUGAAACAAAAUAUAUGGAAGUUUAUAAUACUUUCAUUUGUCUACAGCAUUGUUGCUCACGCUCCAAGCUUACCGAGGAUCCAUGCCAGAUGACACCGCAUAGCUAUUUCCUCGAGUUACAGAAACAAAGCCGAAUUGCGUCUAAAAAUAACGAACGUUUUGAGCGGCGGAAAAUUCUGUACGCAUGUUUCUUUGGUCCUAUUAUAUUCUAUCUUGGCAUAGACAUACGCAAGAAGAAGAAACUGUGAGGGGGCAAUGCAAGCUCGAACUUAGUGUGUAUCGUCCACCUGAACUUUCUAUGCGGUGGACUAAGCUAUGGACUUAAAAAAAUUUACUAUGUUUUUUUGUUGUGUUAGAUCUGCAUGUAAUGAAAGAUGAUGUUUGUACUUCA